GACGAACGCUGGCGGCGUGCUUAACACAUGCAAGUCGAACGAAGUGGCGAACGGGUGAGUAACGCGUAAUCAACCUGCCCUUCAGAGGGGGACAACAGUUGGAAACGACUGCUAAUACCGCAUACUUCAUGCGGGGAUUGCGUUUGAUUAGCUAGUUGGCGGGGUAACGGCCCACCAAGGCUAUGAUCAGUAGCAGGGAGGAGAGGAUGAAAGGCCUGAGUGGGACUGAGACACGGCCCAGACUGCUACGGGAGGCAGCAGUGGGGAAUUUGCCGCAAUGGACGAAAGUCUGACGGAGCAACGCCGCGUGAGGGAUGACGGCCUUCGGGUUGUAAAGCUCGGUUAAUCGGGACGCGGUACCGGAAUAGAAAGCCACGGCUAACUACGUGCCAGCAGCCGCGGUAAUAC
rnacentral:rRNA from 1 species